CCCAUAUGUUGAGGUGAAGCUAGGGAAUUAUAAGGGCACAACUCGGUUUUUCGAGAAAACCAGCAACCCAGAGUGGAAUCAGGUCUUUGCCUUUUCAAAGGAGCGCAUUCAGUCAUCAGUUGUGGAGAUCGUGGUCAAGGAUAAGGAUCUUGUUAAGGAUGACUUCAUUGGGCGUGUUAUAUUUGACCUUAAUGAGGUCCCAAAGAGAGUGCCACCUGAUAGCCCAUUGGCUCCACAGUGG
rnacentral:lncRNA from 1 species